rnacentral:sRNA from 1 species
UACUUGAACUUGUUCUGGAUUGAUAAAGUGAACAUGCGUAUCAAUCGCUCCCGCUGUCACGAUUAAGCCUUCACCUGCAAUUACUUCUGUAGCCGCUCCAACAACAAUGUCAACAUUGUCCAUAAUUAACGGAUUUCCGCUUUUUCCGAUGCCAAAUAUUUUGCCGUCGCGAAUCGCAAGGUCAGCCUUUACAAUUCCUGUGUAGUCAAAAAUGAUAACGUUUGUGAUCACUGUAUCCGGUACGCCAUCUUCGCGCGUAGCAAGUGGAUGUUGUCCCAUUCCAUCACGAA